rnacentral:tRNA from 1 species
GCCCCGGUAGCUCAGUCUGGUUAGAGCAAGGUACUCUAAAUACCUGUGUCGCGGGUUCAAAUCCUGUCCGGGGCGCCA